AUCCAGUUGACCAGUCCCAAAUAGGACGAAACGCGCGUCCUGGAU
rfam:Schistosoma mansoni, Puerto Rico, WGS project CABG01000000 data, contig: 0181